UAACAACUCCCCAACGUGCUCUUGCGAAUGCCAGCAACUUUGAUUAUGGAAGUGAUGAUUAUUCUCCUAAUGGACCAAGUGUUUUGAGUAUAGGCUUGCCUUCCCAUGCAGUUGACUUCAUUAAUGGUAACGAUUGGACAAAAAGAAUUCAACAACAUGAUACAAAUCCCUUGCCAUUGAUUGCCUCGCAGCCUUUCGCCUCUCCAUAUAGCAAUGAAACAUUUGUACCUGCGCCAGUUUACCUUGAUUUUGGUACUGAGCAGCAUCAUGGGAAUGGACAUAGCGAUAGACUUGUCACAAAAUGCAGCUGGCUGCAUUAAUGUAGGUCCUGCAUGCCAAGAGCCCAAGACCAGCACCAACCGGACUCAUCAGAAUUCACCUUGCAUCACUCUAUCUCCAAAAAAUUCACCAUUCGAAACCUAUUUGAUAAGGGAACUAAUCAUAUUAUUGAUCCCCCUAUCAAAAUCUAUUCUGCAUGUAUUGUUUCCCUGUAUUUUCUGACAAUUUGAGAUAAAGUUCUCUGGAAGAAAUUUGUGGGACCAGCUUUUGAUGGGUACCAACUAAUAUGGGAACUAAAGACGCCUGAGCAUGGACGGAAUCGUGCUGAGUUACUGUACCAACUUUUCAAUAUGGCAGGGAAUUAGAGAUACAUACCAGAAUUGCUGAUUGUCCUCCUGGAAAUUUGAAAGAUGAUGCUUUCGUGUUGUCACCUCUACACAAGAGACCAUGCACAAUGUCUACUUGGUUGUUUUGUUUUUGUGGGAAAGCAAGUGGAAUUGUUUAGGUCUCUUGUUUCAGCACCAUUCAAGUUAGGUUUCUUUUGGUCUAUUUUAUUGAACAAUGUAUAAGUGUCAACAACUAUGCUUGACUCAUUGAACUGUUACUACCUUUCCUUUAUCAGCAGCUGGGCAACCAGUUCAGACCAGCUGGUGCUUCAUGCUAGUUCCUUCA